AAGAGAAGAUGGGUAGACUAGUAGAGUAUAUACUGUUACUUCUAUCAGUUGUACUAGUAGUAUCUACAUUGACUGGAUCUACUAACAAUUACUACAAUGGUAAGAUACUGACUACUAUACUAAUGGAUAAUAUACCUGUUUCAAUUAUAUAUACUAUCAACAACAAGAAUCUACUGGUAAUAAAGGAGUCACAGAUUGUUCUGUUACUAAGAAAUUUGGUGAACUCAUUAAUGGAUCAAUAACUCCUAAUCCAUUGGUUCACGGGAAAGAGUUUCAUUUGCAAGGAACUGCACACAUUAAAAAACUCGUACAAUGGGGUAUACUGCAUUUCACAUUGACACAUACAUUCAAGGAUUAUACUAAUAUUACGUUCGUUGAUGAGAAGUUCAAUUUAUGCGACUACAUUGUUGAUUUAUUCAAGCAGCAUGUACAUUGCCCAGUACAACCAGGAAUGUAUCAUUUUAAUUAUACUGAUACAAGCAAAGUACCAGAUCUCCUUUGGCCAGGUAGGUAUUAUGCAAAAGCUACUAUGUACAAUAAGGAAGGAGAGGAAAUGAUGUGUGUAAGUACAGAGCUUAAUGUCAAAGGACUUAAAUAAAAAUAGUGAAAGUACAUUAAUGUGUAUUUAAUAUAAUGAUUCUAAGC